rnacentral:rRNA from 1 species
GGAAUAUUGGUCAAUGGACGAGAGUCUGAACCAGCCAAGUAGCGUGCAGGAUGACGGCCCUAUCGGGUUGUAAACUGCUUUUAUGCGGGAUCAAUGGCAGUCACGUGUGACUGAGAUGUGCGUACCGCAUGAAUAAUGACCGGCUAAUUCCGUGCCAGCAGCCGCGGUAAUACGGAAGGUCAGGGCGUUAUCCGGAUUUAUUGGGUUUAAAGGGAGCGCAGGCGGAUUUGCAAGUCAGCCGUGAAAAGCUGUGGCUCAACCACAGUCGUGCGGUUGAAACUGCAUGUCUUGAGACAGCGCAGCGGCACUGGAAUUCGUGGUGUAGCGGUGAAAUGCUUAGAUAUCACGAAGAACUCCGAUCGCGAAGGCAGGUGCCGGGAGCUGUUCUGACGCUGAGGCUCGAAAGUGCGGGUAUCAAACA